AGCGAACGCUGGCGGCAGGCCUAAUACAUGCAAGUCGAGCGCACCUUCGGGUGAGCGGCGGACGGGAGAGUAACGCGUGGGAACGUGCCCUUUGGUACGGGAUAACUGAGGGAAACUUCAGCUAAUACCGUAUGUGCCCUACGGGGGAAAGAUUUAUCGCCAUUGGAGCGGCCCGCGUUGGAUUAGGUAGUUGGUGAGGUAAAGGCUCACCAAGCCUACGAUCCAUAGCUGGUCUGAGAGGAUGAUCAGCCACACUGGGACUGAGACACGGCCCAGACUCCUACGGGAGGCAGCAGUAGGGAAUCUUGCGCAAUGGGCGAAAGCCUGACGCAGCCAUGCCGCGUGAAUGAUGAAGGUCUUAGGAUUGUAAAUUUCUUUCACCGGGGAAGAUAAUGACGGUACCCGGAGAAGAAGCCCCGGCUAACUUCGUGCCAGCCGCCGCGGUAAAAC
rnacentral:rRNA from 1 species